AACGAACGCUGGCGGCGUGCCUAACACAUGCAAGUCGAACGAGAAAGGGGCUUCGGCUCCGAGUAAAGUGGAGCACGGGUGAGUAACACGUGGGUAACCUGCCUCUAAGAUUGGGAUAACUCGUCGAAAGAUGAGCUAAUACCGAAUAAGACCACAGUUCCCGCGGGAACAGGGGUCAAAGGUAGCCUCUGCUUGCAAGCUAUCACUUAGAGAUGGGCCUGCGCACCAUUAGCUAGUUGGUAGGGUAACGGCCUACCAAGGCAAAGAUGGUUAGCUGGUCUGAGAGGAUGAUCAGCCACACUGGAACUGAGACACCGUCCAGACUCCUACGGGAGGCAGCAGUGGGGAAUAUUGCGCAAUGGGCGAAAGCUUGACGCAGCAACGCCGCGUGAGUGAUGAAGGCCUUCGGGUCGUAAAGCUCUGUCGGGAGGAACGAAUGCUCCUGAGGUUAACAGCCUCGGGAGGUGACGGUACCUUCAAAGGAAGCACCGGCUAACUCUGUG
rnacentral:rRNA from 1 species